GACGAACGCUGGCGGCGUGCUUAACACAUGCAAGUCGAACGGUGAAGGGGUCUGCUUUUGUGGGCCCUGGAUGAGUGGCGAACGGGUGAGUAACACGUGAGUAACCUGCCCCCUUCUUCUGGAUAACCGCAUGAAAGUGUGGCUAAUACGUGAUAUUCUGGGUCUGUCGCAUGAUGGGUCUGGGAAAGAUUGCGCCUUUGGGUGUUUUUGGUGGGGGAUGGGCUCGCGGCCUAUCAGCUUGUUGGUGGGGUGAUGGCCUACCAAGGCGGUGACGGGUAGCCGGCCUGAGAGGGUGGACGGUCACACUGGGACUGAGACACGGCCCAGACUCCUACGGGAGGCAGCAGUGGGGAAGAUUGCACAAUGGGCGCAAGCCUGAUGCAGCGACGCCGCGUGAGGGAUGGAGGCCUUCGGGUUGUAAACCUCUUUCGCCAGUGAAGCAGGCCUGCUCCGUGUGGGUGGGUUGACGGUAGCUGGAUAAGAAGCGCCGGCUAACUACGUG
rnacentral:rRNA from 1 species